ensembl:lncRNA
GCCUCAGGCAUCAUCUGGCAGCGGGACCAGGAGCUGCGCUCCCACGGGGUCGCAGCUCCGAAGGGAGGCGCUUUGGCAGCCAGAUGGUGCUGCUGAAAGGACAGUGGCAGCAAUUUGGGGGUGACGGCCCCCUGGCGUUGCCUCGGAUCCUGAUUUGCUGUAACAAAGCAAAUAUUCUGUGUUACACACACGGCCUUUUCAGAGGACACAGAGGACGUCGCGGAGGCUGGAAGAGGGUGAAGAUGCUGUAGAAAUUAUCUCAUUAGUUUUCUUCGUCAAGGCAAAAAUCGUUUUGUACAUAAAUUCUAUGAUAAAUGAAAUUAGCUUUGAAUUUGAGGGUCAUUGGAUGAAUAAAAAUACGCUCUAGUGUGUAUUCGAAACGGAUGCUUUCCCAGCACAAAGGGAAUCCUUUGCCAAGUGUGUUUUGCACAGCCCACAUCCCUCCUCUUCCUUUUUGGGAAAAGAAAAAAAAAAAGGAAAGAAGAACUGUUGGGGAAAAAAGGAAAGCAGAACUUGGCAAGGCCUAGUCGCAUCAGAGAAAUAAUCCUGCAAGGUCCAGGUCGAUAACAGACGAGGUGAGCCCGGGGUUUCAGGGAGUCCCCUUCUUAGUACAAAGCACAAAGCAAUUUAAAAAAUCAUAUAAAGAUAACUUUACGUUGAAAACAACCCUCUUUAUUGCUCCCCCUGCUGACUGUACAAUAAAUACAAUCUAGUGAGAAAAAAAAAGAGAGAAGUGGGAAAGACGGGAAGAUGAAAAUUUCCGUAACCACCGUCCUGCCCACCCCCACCCGAAGAGCCACAGUCAGGGCCUGCGGAACCGUCCCCGUUGGUUUUUUGGCGCCUGAACUGAAACCGAGAUGGCGUGUGAAUGAAUUCCCAUGAGACGUGAUGUCCCGUCGUACAGGGGACUCUGUUACCUUUCUUACUUCCUGUCGGGGACGUCUUUCCCCACCGGUGACCACAGAUCGUUACUCUGGCAGCCACGUCGCACGGCUCCACCAGGACUUAGGACCCAAGCCUGUGGGGACCCGUCCUCGGGCCUCCCCCAGCUCUGCUGACCUGUCUGUGUACAUAAACCUGUUCCUUGCUGGACCCCCAGGUAUCACCCGGCUUUGAAUGGGUACGUUCUCUCCUCGCCUGCUUUCGUUGCUGCUGCAGACGGGUAAGCAUCGCUUCCUUGCCUUUCAAGGGUCAGGGCAGCUGCAUGUCAAGAAAGACCUUACUGGUUUAAGGUAGACCAUGUGGGGACACCGUGUUGGAAGGCCGUGCCUUCCGAGGAUGCAACCAGCUGGGGAGACUCAUCUGGGGGGUGGUGUGGGGGGGUCAGUAAGCAGAUGGGGAUGCAAUCCGCUCUGUGUCUAAGGCUUGUAUUUGGAAGACGAAUCAGUGUCUUUAUACGGGUAGAAUAUGAGUGAAUCUUAUCCAGAUGAUUCCAGACCAAACCUACAAUGUGGCCUUUCAAAUCUGACCUGUGGCCCUGGCGAUGCUGGCGGUAAAUGGGUCUCAGAAAAAAAGAUGCUCUGAUGUGAUGCUUUAUUUAAGGGGAGCCUGGCUCCCUGGACAGGCAGUGUGUGCAGCACAGCACGACGCUGUAAGCUGGAAAGUCUGCUUUGAGUUUUUAGGGGUAUUCCCGGGUGUGCGUGUGCCCUGUGCAGGGGAGGCUCAGACGCGCUGGCAGGGAGAGGAGGCGGCCGAGAGGCUGUGAGGCGAAUGCAGCGCUAACCAGGCAGGUCCAGAGCGUGAGGGGUGACACAGGGGCGCGGAGGUGACCCUCGUCUCGCUUUCUUGCUGCUGAGCACAAUGUUGAAAGAGUUCAUUUAAACGCUGAACAAAAUGUCACCGUCACAAUCACAGAAAGUGACUUCGUAGUUAAAGCUUCGUGUCCACUGCUGACCCAGGGA